rnacentral:rRNA from 1 species
AAAGGUGGUUUUGGCUACCACUUACAGAUGGACCCGCGGCGCAUUAGCUAGUUGGUGAGGUAACGGCUCACCAAGGCUACGAUGCGUAGCCGACCUGAGAGGGUGAUCGGCCACACUGGGACUGAGACACGGCCCAGACUCCUACGGGAGGCAGCAGUAGGGAAUCUUCCGCAAUGGACGAAAGUCUGACGGAGCAACGCCGCGUGAGUGAUGAAGGUUUUCGGAUCGUAAAACUCUGUUGUUAGGGAAGAACAAGUACCGUUCGAAUAGGGCGGUACCUUGACGGUACCUAACCAGAAAGCCACGGCUAACUACGUGCCAGCAGCCGCGGUAAUACGUAGGUGGCAAGCGUUGUCCGGAAUUAUUGGGCGUAAAGCGCGCGCAGGCGGUUUCUUAAGUCUGAUGUGAAAGCCCCCGGCUCAACCGGGGAGGGUCAUUGGAAACUGGGGAACUUGAGUGCAGAAGAGGAGAGUGGAAUUCCACGUGUAGCGGUGAAAUGCGUAGAGAUGUGGAGGAACACCAGUGGCGAAGGCGACUCUCUGGUCUGUAACUGACGCUGAGGCGCGAAAGCGUGGGGAGCGAACAGGAUUAGAUACCCUGGUAGUCCACGCCGUAAACGAUGAGUGCUAAGUGUUAGAGGGUUUCCGCCCUUUAGUGCUGCAGCAAACGCAUUAAGCACUCCGC